AACAAGCUUGAGGACUACCAUUGGAAGUUUCAGAAGGUGGAGCAGAAUGGGUUCUGUGGCAACCAAAGGACAACUUCAGGAAUAUGCACCAGUGUCUAAAGCAUAUGGAAGCAAAGCUGAUCGGCUUCAGUGAGAGUGUGGUUAAUGGUGUCAAAAUAGGCUUUCUGGCUUCUCCUAGGCCACUCAUUCAGUGAUAGGGGCUGUGUCUCAAGCCCAGGGAACUCACUUCAUUGACUUGGAACAAAUUUAGCAGUGCAGAAGACAUCUCUAACCUAAUGUCACAAAGAAUCAUGCAGCUUUAGAGCUAGAAGGGACCUUAGAGAUUAUGCCAAAGCUGAAUCUGAGAGAAGUAUCCUCCCAGGAAAACGCCAAGAUUCUCCAAGACACUUUCGUAUCCUAAGCCCUGUUCUGUUUGUUCUUAUGUAGUAAAUUGGCAAAUUUGGCAGUACAGAAGACAUCUCUAACCUGAUGUCACAAAGAAUCAUGUCUGGCCCAUAGAGAGUAUUCUAACUAACCAUGUAAGCCACUAGAAUGUUAAACUAAUGCUCUGGCACUGAGGUGGGUAUUUUGAGCAUUUGUGACUUUACAGUCUAUUAUCUGUAUUGGUUAAAAUAUAUAUGAACAUAUGCUAA
rnacentral:sRNA from 1 species